rfam:Cajanus cajan chromosome 2, whole genome shotgun sequence.
GGGAAAUGAAGAGUGGUGAAAUCUCGCACAAAAAAAGCGAGUGGGGUGUCCGCCCCAGCCUGGUUACGACUAUUGGGCACUCUCCCUCUGACCGAUCUGAUCCC